UACGGAGGGUGCGAGCGUUUGUCCGGAAUCACUGGGCGUAAAGGGCGCGUAGGCGGCAGCCCAAGUCGGUGGUGAAAGCCCGUGGCUCAACUGCGGGUCGGCCACCGAUACUGGGUAGCUUGAGCACGGUAGAGGCAGGGUGGAAUUCCGGGUGUAGCGGUGGAAUGCGUAGAUAUCGGAAGGAACGCCGGUGGCGAAAGCGACGUGCUGGACCUCUUCUGACGCUGAGGCGCGAAAGCCAGGGGAGCAAACGGGG
rnacentral:rRNA from 1 species